UACGGGGGAUGCAAGCGUUAUCCCGGAUUUAUUGGGUUUAAAGGGUGCGUAGGCUGUGAGGUAAGUCAGCGGUGAAAUGCCCCCGCUCAACGGGGUGAAGUGCCAUUGAUCUGCCUUGCUGGAAUGCGGAUGCCGUGGGAGGAAUGUGUGGUGUAGCGGUGAAAUCAUAGAUAUCACACAGAACACCGAUUGCGAAGGCAUCUCACGAAUCCGCUAUUUGACGCUG
rnacentral:rRNA from 1 species